rnacentral:rRNA from 1 species
ACGCACGCUGGCGGCGUGCUUCACACCUGCAAGUCGAACGGAAAGGCCCUGCUUUUGUGGGGUGCUCGAGUGGCGAACGGGUGAGUAACACGUGAGUAACCUGCCCUUGACUUUGGGAUAACUUCAGGAAACUGGGGCUAAUACCGGAUAGGAGCUCCUGCUGCAUGGUGGGGGUUGGAAAGUUUCGGCGGUUGGGGAUGGACUCGCGGCUUAUCAGCUUGUUGGUGGGGUAGUGGCUUACCAAGGCUUUGACGGGUAGCCGGCCUGAGAGGGUGACCGGCCACAUUGGGACUGAGGUACGGCCCAGACUCCUACGGGAGGCAGCAGUGGGGAAUAUUGCACAAUGGGCGGAAGCCUGAUGCAGCAACGCCGCGUGCGGGAUGACGGCCUUCGGGUUGUAAACCGCUUUCGCCUGUGACGAAGCGUGAGUGACGGUAAUGGGUAAAGAAGCACCGGCUAACUACGUG